AUUGAACGCUGGCGGCAGGCCUAACACAUGCAAGUCGAGCGGAGCGGCGGACGGGUGAGUAAUGCCUAGGGAUCUGCCUGGUAGUGGGGGAUAACGUACGGGAACGGGCGCUAAUACCGCAUACUAUCAGAUGAGCCUAGGUCGGAUUAGCUAGUUGGUGGGGUAAAGGCCUACCAAGGCGACGAUCCGUAACUGGUCUGAGAGGGAGAUCAGUCACACUGGAACUGAGACACGGGCCAGACUCCUACGGGAGGCAGCAGUGGGGAAUAUUGGACAAUGGGCGAAAGCCUGAUCCAGCCACGCCGCGUGAGUGAAGAAGGUCUUCGGAUUGUAAAGCACUGUAAGUUGGGAGGCGUUACCAACAGAAUAAGCAACGGCUAACUUCGUGCCAGCCGCCGCGGUAAUUC
rnacentral:rRNA from 1 species